rnacentral:rRNA from 1 species
UUCAGUAUUGAAGUGAUUCAGUGUGCACUUUGCUUUUAGUAAGACGUUGUGAUCCAUUAGGAAUGGAUGUGUGUAAUAACACAUCAAUGGGCUACCAAUAGGCCUGCAUGAAGUUCAUGGUGGCAAACAAUUGGGCCGUUGUGGUCUAGUAUAUUGCCCUGUGAGCGUGUGGCGUCUGCUGUAGCUGCCUGAUGGAUUUUAAAGGUGAUACCGUAAUGUCUUUGACAUUACCCGCUUAUGGUGGGAUUCAGAUAUCUACCCGAUCAACAACGGUUAAAUUUGGGAUACCUUUGGGACCCGUCUUGAAACACGGACCAAGGAGUCUAUCUAGUAUGCGAGUAAAUGGGCACAAGAAAACCUAUUUGCGUAAAUAACUUGACUGUUAUGGGAUUACGAGCUGCACCCUGCCAUAUGGUGUGGUGCGUUCCUCCAUCCCGGGGUAUUUUUAUAUAAUGUCCUGCCAGUUCUUUGGGACUGGUGGAUACAUAGAAAAUAUACCAUGAGCACACUGGAUAUGACCCGAAAGAUGGUGAACUAUGCCUGAUCAGGUUGAAGUCAGGGGAAACCCUGAUGGAGGACCGAAGCAAUUCUGACGUGCAAAUCG